GACGAACGCUGGCGGCGUGCCUAAUACAUGCAAGUCGAGCGCAGGAAAUCGACGGAACCCUUCGGGGGGAAGUCGACGGAAUGAGCGGCGGACGGGUGAGUAACACGUAAAGAACCUGCCCUCAGGUCUGGGAUAACCACGAGAAAUCGGGGCUAAUACCGGAUGGGUCAUCGGACCGCAUGGUCCGAGGAUGAAAGGCGCUUCGGCGUCGCCUGGGGAUGGCUUUGCGGUGCAUUAGCUAGUUGGUGGGGUAAUGGCCCACCAAGGCGACGAUGCAUAGCCGACCUGAGAGGGGGAUCGGCCACACUGGGACUGAGACACGGCCCAGACUCCUACGGGAGGCAGCAGUAGGGAAUCUUCCACAAUGGACGAAAGUCUGAUGGAGCAACGCCGCGUGAACGAUGAAGGCCUUCGGGUCGUAAAGUUCUGUUGUAAGGGAAGAACAAGUGCCGCAGGCAAUGGCGGCACCUUGACGGUACCUUGCGAGAAAGCCACGGCUAACUACGUGCCAGCCGCCGCUGUAACAC
rnacentral:rRNA from 1 species